CACAUUGUCCCUGGGGAAAGAGAGGUGCAGAACCCUUCACUAAUGGCCUGGAAUGUCAAACAGCAAUCACAGCCAUGGACAGCUCUCGGGAACCACUGCACCAUGGAUUUUCCAUCCUGGAAGGCCAAGAUUGAGAGUGUCCUGCUGGUGCCUCAGGGCCUGGCUGAACAGGGCUUGUCAGAGAUCUGGCAGGGAGGAGUCCCGGCAGGGAUAAAGGUGCUCCUCACCUGCUGCAGCCUCACCCAGCGCUGCCCAGAGCGAGAGGAAGAUGAAGGUGGCUGUGCUCAGCGUGGCCCUGCUCUUCUCCAUCCUGCUGUGCUCCCCGGCUCAGGCCCAGGAAAAGCUGGAGGAACUUCUGCGGAUGAAGCGCGCCGUGGCUGCCUCUCUGAAGGUCUAGGUGAGCCGUGCCUGCAGGGACAGGGCUGGGGACAAAGCCCAUCCAUGGCCCAGCAGGAAACACCAGUGGUCACCUUCUGGGCUUUGUCUUUCAGGGUCAGAAGGAGCAGUGUCCUUUUCCUCUCCAGUGGCAUGAGGAGAUGAUCAUGCCUGGAGGAACCCCUGACCCUUUGAGCCCGGGCCAUUUCCCCUGAAUAAUCAAGCAUCAAUAAUCAAUAAACCCUUUCAGCAUAGCUUUGCUCUGUGUCUGUGUGUGUCCCCUAUCCAGUGGUCCAGGGAAGUCAGGCCAGGUCUGGGCUCUGCUGCCUUGGCACAGCCCGUGCUCUCCCCCAGACAAAUUGUGUGUUGGGAGUUGUGCAGGCUCCAGGGGGAGUGGGUUGAGUAGGUGGGUGGGCGUGCAGGUGCUGAGAAAGGCUGCAGUUCACCAUGAGUGUGGUAGGAAUGGCCUGGGUUGAAAAGGAAAAAAUUAAAUUCAAAACAAGGUUUCCUUUAAAACAUUUUUCCCUUAAAAUUCUUUAUUCACUCCAAAGAAUUUAAUGGCUCAAAAAAAAUCUUUAUAUGUCAAAAGCAUGUUGAAAUUAUUU
rnacentral:lncRNA from 1 species